CCCUUAGAUGUUCUGGGCCGCACGCGCGCUACACUGACGAAGUCAGCGAGCAUGUCCUACGCCGACAGGUGCGGGGAAUCUUGUCAAACUUCGUCGUGAUGGGGAUUGAUUAUUGAAAUUCUUGAUCAUCAACGAGGAAUUCCUAGUAAGCGCAAGUCAGCAGCUUGCGUUGAUUACGUCCCUGCCCUUUGUACACACCGCCCGUCGCUGCCAUCGGUGGACGGCCGAGCCAGGGCUUUGGACUGCGAGCGCCUGCCCUUCGUCUUCGGACGGGGAGUCGUUGCCCGCGGAAAAUCGUCCGAACUCGGUCGCCCCGAGAUAGCAAAAGUCGUAACA
rnacentral:rRNA from 1 species